UAUGGAUCAUCCAGUUGAAAGGGGUUUCGGUAAGAUAAAUUCAUUUUCUUCCCUUCACACAGAAAGGGCUAUUACUGUCUCCAUUGCUCAAGAAGUUAGCUGUAUACAAGAAGUCAUGUUACUGGCUCAAGAGAAAGUCUUUUUCUUCAGUGCCCCAGGAUUCAAAGGUCGAGGCCAUCAUGCCUUGCCGCUCUUUUCUGGCUAUGAUGCAUGUGGGCCGCUGAUGUGAAAUAGAUGGACUCAGAUCCUCUAAUUGAAACGGAAACCUUGCUCUCUCUCCACUCCUGAGAUUCCUUCACACAACCCUAAGAAAAAGCUUCCCAGCGGCUGACCUACCAAACCAGAAAUAACAAACAAAAACACAAGAGAAAUGCAAGCAUCUUGCUGAAAUGCGGAGCAUCUGGGGUUAUCACUAAAAGAGGCCCGAGUCAUGGCUCCAGAGCAAGGAGAUUCUGAGGAACUGUCUGAGGAGACAAAUCACAUUAAAUGUGUUUAUUUGGUUUUCUGAAAUGUCCGUUUCUCUGGCUUUAUUUACAUUUCAUUAAUAUGAACUUCUUCAACCUGAGACACAUUGAGUUCUUCUGAUUUCACUUUCACAAGCAGCCAGAAAGUGAGACGGAUCCUAAACAAACUCUUGGGUGAUAUGAAAGCUCUGUAGUUAUAGAAGCAUGAGGACUCUAAGUGGACCAGAGUCCACUUCCUCUACAGAAGGGGUGGUUUUCCAUUCCCUUAAGAAAUGGUUCACUUUUGUUAUCCAGCAAGCUGAGAGAGUGUAGGACUACCCUCGGGAUCAAGGGUUAAUGGACAAGUUGUAAAUUCCUCAACAAGGUCCAAUUCAUUAGUCUUGAUCACUUUCAGUUUGAGUUAACCAAAUUCUAAUUAAGCACAGUUUGUUAUAAUGAAGUCGGAGACCAGGUUUGGCCCUGUCUACCUGGGCUUGCAAUAUUGCAGACUUCAUACUUAAUUAAGGUAAAGAAUUCCUUUUGACUCUCACAGCCAGGAUUUUCCAUUUAUUCCACGUGGAGUGCCAGUUGGCUUCCACAGAGCCUGCAAGCAUGUGCCUUUGGCACAGCUGGACAAUUUGUGAACUUCUGUGGAAUUAAAGAGGUGCCAUAUCCUUGAGAAACAUUCCUAGUCACCUGGAUUCCAAUUUAUUCUCACCACUGAUCAACCUGUUCCAAGUCAUAACAAGCACGUGCAUAGUGGAGGUGGGGAACAGUGGGUGUCAACCACAAUGUUCCAGAGAAGUCGCCUUUCUCCCUAGGCCAACUGCUUGAAUUCUGUGAAGCCUGAUAGAGAAGUCAACAAUUCUGACUCCAAUCUGGUUCCAAAACUAAUCUGAAGCUAGAAGAAGGAAAGACCCCAGGGUCGUCCUUGUGGUAGCCUGGGCUUUGGGAGACCACAAAAGGAAGAACUUCCCUUGGAGAUCUGCAUGAUAGCAGAUCUGGAACAAGAGGACUAGCUCCAGUUCCCCCACUGUCCUGCUGGAGCUGCUGGUUAGAAGACCCUGAACAAGUACUUCACUUCUCUGAGACUUGGUCUUCUCAUCUACAAAGAGAGAGGGUGUGAGUAGACCCAUGCUUCUCAAACAAUCUGUGAUGGAGAGACACUCCUCUUUCCUUCCUUUACUUUCAGAAAUCCACUGUACACUGAGAUUUUUUGUGAAGAACAGUAAACAUUGUCAGAAAAAAAAGAUGAUGAGUUGUUGAAGCAGUGUCAAAUUGCCUUAAAAGCGUCUGAGCGUUGACCUUUUUUAUAUUUAUACCACCAUGAACUGCUAAAAUCGUAUGACCUACAGUCAUCUGCAGACCAUGAAGAGCACUGGACGACAUGACAUCUUGACUCUCUCUCAGAUAUCAGUCUCUGCUGCUCACAAUCAACCUACCGUCUGCUAGGCUUUCCCAAGCAUCUAAAUGAGCUUACUGGUGUGGUUACUCUCACACUUCUGGAGUACCUUCCAGAGUCUUCUAGGACUCUUGUAGAAAGUACUGUAAAGUCUGUGGCUAGUGAACAGCGCAAGUCAUCUCUCACAGUUCUGGAGUGUGGGAGGUCUGAGAUCAGAACACUAGCAUUUGUACCAGUGAUGAGAGCUGAUUGCUGCUUCACUGUUAAUGGUUAUUGUGUUCUCAUGGUAGAAUGGGCAAGAAGAGGUCCUUUUGGUGCCUCUUUUCUAGAAAACAAACAAACA